AUGCUGCCAAAACCGCGUUGGCCAACGCUGCUCUGCUGGCGCACCCGUCUCCGACCGCCCCUGUUGCUCUUACUACGGACGCCUCUGAUUACGCCGUGGGGGCUGUGUGUGAGCAGUGGGUGGUCAGUGGGUGGGCAGCCGCUGGCCUUUUUCAGCAGGAAGCUCCGCGACAACGAGAGGAAAUACAGCGCUUUCGACAGGGAGCUCCUGGCUCUUUUCCUCGCAACCCGUCAUUUCCGCUUCCUGUUGGAGGGCCGUCGGUUCACGGCUUUUGUUGACCACAAGCAGCUGACGUUCGCCAUGGCCAAGUCUUCGGAGCCAUGGUCUGGUCGACGGCAGCGUCAGCUCUCCGCCAUCUCGGAGUACACCACUGACGUUCAGCAUGUGGCCGACAAAGACAAUUUUGUAGCCGACUGCCUCUCUCGGGUGGUUAUUGGUUCCGUCCACUGCGGCCUCCACUACGCAGCUAUGGCUGGGGAUCAGGCUACGGACUCUGAGGUACAGGACUACAGGACAGCCCCCACGGCACUCCUCCUGGAGGAUGUGGUAUUUGGCACGGCCAACAAUACGCUCCUCUGCGACGUCUCCACUGGCCAACCGCGCCCCAUGGUGCCUGCUGGCUGGAGGCGUAAGGUCUUUAACACGAUCCACAGCCUUUCCCACCCGGGGGUGAAGACCUCUGCCAAGCUGGUGGGGGCCAAGUUUGUCUGGCCGGGCCUGCGGAAGCACGUCAGGGCCUGGGCCGCUGUCUGUGUGGCGUGCCAGCGUGCGAAGGUGACUCGUCAUACCAAAGCCCCCUUGGCACUCUUCAAAGUGCCGGAGAGGCGUUUCGACCAUGUGAAUGUGGACCUGGUGGGCCCGCUUUCACCCUCCCGUGGUUACACCUACCUCCUCACCAUGGUGGACAGGACCACCAGGUGGCCAGAAGGUUGGGUUCCCCUGUCCUCAACUACAGCAGCUGAGGUGGCCCGGGCAUUCGUUAUGGCUUGGGUGGCCUGUUUCGGCACACCGUCAGACCUUUCCUCGGACCGGGGGCCGCAGUUCACGUCGGAGCUUUGGACUGCGGUUGCCGGAGUCCUGGGUUUAGUGUGUGCAAAUACAAAAGGCUUUGUGUACAAUUCAUGUACCCUACUUGCCAAUCAUUUAUGUGGCAACUAA
rnacentral:lncRNA from 1 species